rnacentral:lncRNA from 1 species
CGCUGCUGUCACCCCGGCCGCGCCCCCCAACUUUCUGCACAGUCGCGGAGCUGGAAGUUUCCGGGCUUCGCGGACACGCUGGGCUGGGUUUCAGUCGCGGCUCCGAGGUUGGCAACAAAGAGGGAAAGAAGGAGGAAAAGCAGGCCGGGGAGGGGAGGAAGAGAACCGCGCGGAGGCCGCGGCGCCGAGAGCCCCAGAACUUCCAAUUCUACCCAGAAGCUUUUUUCGUCGUGUUUUUCUCUUAGACAUGAUCCUCUCUGAGGUUGGUCCUGGGCUUCCAUACGUGAUUCAUGGAAGAGGUCUCAGCCCCAAGAGCCCCUGAGGGUACUGUCCACUCCCCCUGGAAACUUCCAGAACCUGACGUGGGGCUGAAGACAUAGAGGCUCUGAGAGUUACAUAAUUGAUUCUGACUUUGGCUGUUGGUCAACAGUGUCAUAAGGUAAAAUAAGGCUGUUGUAGAAUCUGCUCAGCCAGGGAGGGGAAAGGAGUCGGCAAUCAGGUCUCCUCCUGGGCACCUUUGUGAGGCCAGCUGGCGAGAGUGGGGGGUGACACUGAGGUCCCAGCAGCUCCAAAUGCAGGCAGAGCCCUGUCCUCAGAGAAGGUCACAGCCUAGCCAAGCCCAGCCAGGUGGAUGGGCCCACGGAACGCACAGGAACCUGGAACGGAGGUUGAAAGCAGGAAGCACAGUCUGUGACUCCCCAGCCCACUCUGCAUUCGACCACUUGGGGCCCAGAAGCUUCAGGAAAGGUGCACAAGGUCACUGGGUCCCAGUACUCCCAACAGGAAGGUCUGGUCCAGGGACAGGGCUCUUCCCGACUCCCCUUAGCCACACGCACCAGAAGUUCUGCAGUGCCCAGUGGGCAUAGCAGUCCCCAAGAAUGACCCAGCACUGAAGCUGAGCCAAAGAACUUGGGGAGCGAGCCACACCCCCUCACUCCCUCUUCGCCUGCUCCAGACUUGCCAGGCGGUUGCUUUUCGUGGGAACCGGGAUGUCCUCACCACCCUGUCCAGGGCCCAGCCCCAUGUCCCUGGCCUGCUACAGCUGGAAAAAAAAAAGAGAGAUGUUUGUUUUUAUUUGUUUAUAAAAAGAAAAGUGUUAUAUAUAUAACAUAUUAUACCUCAUGAAUACAUACAAUUAUUUGUCAAUUAACAAUAAAGAAAAAUACAGCAAGCAAAAAAGACUCUCUUCCACAAAAAUAGUGUUCAUUACAGAAAAGUACAAAAAAAAAAAAAAAAAACUAAGAGGAUAUUUAGAAUUAAGAAAAAACUAAGAGGGUAUUUAGAAUUAAAAAAUAAAAAGAAAACAAUUACCCAUGAGGUAAUUACUGAAUGCAUUUGGUUGAAAGUCCUUCUGCUAUAUUUUCCAAACUGUAUGUGUAUAUAUGUGCGCAUGCAUAUAUGUGUUUGUGUGUGUGUACACAUAUCUAUAUGAAUGGACCAUAUCGUAAGUUAUAAAUGCAUACAUAUAUUCAUGUAUAUAUAAUCAUUAGAUCAUACUAUAGGUUAUUUUACAGUCUUUUUGUUGAAUACGUUGUGAGCAUUUUAUGUCAUUAUUUUCUACAAGAUUUGAAAAAUAAAGUAUAAAUACCAGUUAAUUUUUGAAAUCAACCUUAUUAAGGAAUAAGUUCCAU